UACGUAGGGUGCAAGCGUUGUCCGGAAUUAUUGGGCGUAAAGAGCUCGUAGGCGGUCUGUCGCGUCUGCUGUGAAAACUCGGGGCUUAACCCCGGGCCUGCAGUGGGUACGGGCAGACUAGAGUGCGGUAGGGGAGACUGGAAUUCCUGGUGUAGCGGUGAAAUGCGCAGAUAUCAGGAGGAACACCGGUGGCGAAGGCGGCUCGCUGGGACGGUACUGACGCUGAGACGCGAAAGCGUGGGGAGCAAACAGG
rnacentral:rRNA from 1 species